rnacentral:tRNA from 1 species
UCAGUAUAUAUUUUAAUUAAAAAUUUUAAUUUUGGAGAUUAAUGAUAAUAUUUAUAUAUUUAUACUGAU